rnacentral:rRNA from 1 species
AGUGAACGCUGGCGGUAGGCCUAACACAUGCAAGUCGAACGGCAGCACAGUAAGAGCUUGCUCUUACGGGUGGCGAGUGGCGGACGGGUGAGGAAUACAUCGGAAUCUACUUUUUCGUGGGGGAUAACGUAGGGAAACUUACGCUAAUACCGCAUACGACCUACGGGUGAAAGCAGAGGAUCUUCGGACCUUGCGCGAUUGAAUGAGCCGAUGUCGGAUUAGCUAGUUGGCGGGGUAAAGGCCCACCAAGGCGACGAUCCGUAGCUGGUCUGAGAGGAUGAUCAGCCACACUGGAACGGAGACCCGGUCCAGACUCCUACGGGAGGCAGCAGUGGGGAAUAUUGGACAAUGGGCGCAAGCCGGAUCCAGCCAUACCGCGUGGGUGAAGAAGGCCUUCGGGUUGUAAAGCCCUUUUGUUGGGAAAGAAAAGCAGCAGGUUAAUACCCCGCUGUUCUGACGGUACCCAAAGAAUAAGCACCGGCUAACUUCGUG